GGCAAAUUUUGGAAUUUUUGCAUUUAACUCUAUAAAAAUGGCCAGAGUCUUUAGUAAAAAAUUACACAAAAGGAUCUCAAUGAGUUUUAUGAGGUGUCAAAGGUUGAUCCUGAUCCAGACAAAAUUCUGGAUACUGUGAUCCAGAACACACAAAAAUAAGGGUGUUGUUGGAAUUUUCAAUGCUGAAAGAUAACCAAUGGGCGGCACAGUGGUGUAGAUGGGUGGCACAGUGGUGUCGUGGUUAGCACUGUUGCCUCA